GAUGAACGCUGGCGGCGUGCCUAAUACAUGCAAGUCGAGCGAAUGGAUUAAGAGCUUGCUCUUAUGAAGUUAGCGGCGGACGGGUGAGUAACACGUGGGUAACCUGCCCAUAAGACUGGGAUAACUCCGGGAAACCGGGGCUAAUACCGGAUAACAUUUUGAACCGCAUGGUUCGAAAUUGAAAGGCGGCUUCGGCUGUCACUUAUGGAUGGACCCGCGUCGCAUUAGCUAGUUGGUGAGGUAACGGCUCACCAAGGCAACGAUGCGUAGCCGACCUGAGAGGGUGAGCGGCCACACUGGGACUGAGACACGGCCCAGACCCCUACGGGAGGCAGCAGUAGGGAAUCUUCCGCAAUGGACGAAAUUCUGACGGAGCAACGCCGCGUGAGUGAUGAAGGCUUUCGGGUCGUAAAACUCUGUUGUUAGGGAAGAACAAGUGCUAGUUGAAUAAGCUGGCACCUUGACGGUACCUAACCAGAAAGCCACGGCUAACUACGUGCCAGCAGCCGCGGUAA
rnacentral:rRNA from 1 species